rnacentral:lncRNA from 1 species
AAGAUUUAAGGAGAUACCAAUAUUGAAGCAUUUAGAGCAUCACCGCCGAAGUUAUGAUAAUUGGAAGAUUGGUGUUUCAAAGUCAUUAAAUGUCUAACACUUAGAAAAUUUUCUAAGUGUUUCAAGUCAGGAUUUUCAAGCAAGUUCAUGUCAAUUUUAAGGAGUGUUAGAGGCUUCAUUUCAAGUUACCUUCAACAUGAUAAAUGUUCCUUUAUCCUCCCUCUUUCCA